GCGAGGGAAAGGUGAAAAGCACCCCGGAGAGGGGAGUGAAAUAGGACCUGAAACCAUGCGCCUACAACACCGUGGGAGCCUGCCUUCGGGCGGGUGACCGCGUGCCUCUUGGAGUAUGAGCCAGCGAGUUACGGUCUGUGGCGAGGUUAAGGGAGCGACACCCGGAGCCGCAGCGAAAGCGAGUCUGAAAAGGGCGACAAGUCGCAGGCCGUAGACCCGAAACCGGGUGAUCUACCCAUGGGCAGG
rfam:Ardenticatena maritima DNA, contig: NODE_297, strain: 110S.